UGCAACCAAGGGUUAAGUGUUUGGGGUUU
rnacentral:piRNA from 1 species